GACGAACCGAGCGAACGUUGUUCGGAAUCACUGGGCUUAAAGGGCGCGUAGGCGGGCUGUCAAGUCUGGGGUGAAAUCCCGCGGCUCAACCGUGGAACUGCCUCAGAUACUGACGGUCUCGAGGGAGGUAGGGGCGAGCGGAACUGAUGGUGGAGCGGUGAAAUGCGUUGAUAUCAUCAGGAACUCCGGUGGCGAAGGCGGCUCGCUGGACCUCUUCUGACGCUGAGGCACGAAAGCGUGGGGAGCAAACAGG
rnacentral:rRNA from 1 species